rnacentral:misc_RNA from 1 species
AACUUCUUCCAUCAGCUUCACCCCUUCCCACUCUUUCUUCAAGCUCUCUAUUGCAUUUCCUCUUUCGUUUCUCCAAACAUAUGGCAGCCCACUUUUCACACCAAGCUUUAGGUGAUCACAUGUUACCUUAAUGCAUAAUCCACACCAUAUGUCUUCCAUGGUUUCCCACCGAAACUUCCCUUCCCCAGCCAAUCUCAGCGCUGGACAUAAAGCAGGACCAACCACCUCUCGAUCAAAUGCAACGUUGAUUCCACUCACAGGCAACAUCGCCCCGGCUGGAAUAGUCAGGACUGCAUCGACAAUGCGCG